AGAGUUUGAUCCUGGCUCAGAUUGAACGCUGGCGGCGUGCCUAACACAUGCAAGUCGAGCGGUAACAGGUGUAGCAAUACAUGCUGACGAGCGGCGGACGGGUGAGUAACGCUUGGGAAUCUGCCUAUUAGUGGGGGACAACCCGGGGAAACUCGGGCUAAUACCGCAUACGCUCUACGGAGGAAAGCCGGGGACCGCAAGGCCUGGCGCUAAUAGAUGAGCCCAAGUCGGAUUAGCUAGUUGGUAGGGUAAUGGCCUACCAAGGCUACGAUCCGUAACUGGUCUGAGAGGACGACCAGUCACACCGGAACUGAGACACGGUCCGGACUCCUACGGGAGGCAGCAGUGGGGAAUAUUGGACAAUGGGCGAAAGCCUGAUCCAGCGACGCCGCGUGGGUGAAGAAGGCCUGCGGGUUGUAAAGCCCUUUCAGUGGGGAAGAAAAGCCUCGACCUAACACGUCGGGGUCUUGACGUAACCCAUAGAAGAAGCACCGGCUAACUNUGNGCCAGCCGCCGCGGUAAUUC
rnacentral:rRNA from 1 species